rnacentral:rRNA from 1 species
UACAGAGGGGCAAGCGUUAUUCGGAAUUAUUGGGCGUAAAGGGCGCGUAGGCGGCCAUUCAAGUGACGGGUGAAAGCCCUCGGCUUAACCGAGGAACUGCCUGUCAGACUGGAUGGCUUGAGACCGGGAGAGGUGAGUGGAAUUCCCAGUGUAGCGGUGAAAUGCGUAGAUAUGGCGGAGGAACACCGAUGGCGAAGGCAAUCCCCUGGACCUGUACUGACGCUCAUGCACGAAAGGCGUGGGAGCAAACGGG